UUGACUCUAAACAAGCUAGGUGGGAGCUUGAAAAGGAACGGGUCAAACGGAUCAUGGAUGCGAAGAAUGUUUGCGCGGACGCGAGGGUAAAACGGCUUAUGGAAUUUACGUGGCUAUGAAUCAGCAAAUUAUUAAGGCAAGGUAUUAAAACGGGUCAAUACUUUGACCCGCGCCAGGUACAGCAAGUAAACAUGUUUGUUUGAUAAAAUCGCGAACGGGUUAAAAUUUGGUAAAAAUGGUAAUAAGCCGAAGACUUAAAAGUCUUAAAUUUUGUUAAUUCGGAUGUUGGAUUUUGACUCCAUAUUAUGAAGGGUCAAAUUACAACCAUGUAGGAAGAAACGGUGGGUCAAACGGAUAAGCGGUUUGAAAGAUACGAAAGUUUUCGUGCCAAUAAACGGCAAAAUAGGAAAGGUGGAAUGCAGGGGCCACCGUAACUUACGGUGUCACCGUAAGUUACGGUGGAGUUGAAGGCUUUACGACAGCCCCCUACUGAUUUACGGUAGGGGCAUGUCACACCAGGGGCCACCGUAACUUACGGUGCCACCGUAAGUUACGGUGGAGGCCAGUUGGGAAAUCCAUGUUUUGAGAUCAAGAGUUUAACGUUGGGAAUUCUUUUUCCUUCCAUUAUCAUUACCGGAUUUGUUUAGAUUUAUUUCAAUCCCCGUAUGACUAAAGCAUUUCAUGUUUAUGAAAUGUAGGUUCAUUUUGGAUGCCGAGAGACGAUCAAGCUCAUCGAAGAACCGAAC
rnacentral:lncRNA from 1 species